CCUGCGGGGCGCAGCAGUGAGGAAUAUUGGUCAAUGGGCGGGAGCCUGAACCAGCCAAGUCGCGUGAGGGAAGACGGUCCUAUGGAUUGUAAACCUCUUUAGGCGGGGAGCAAUGCCGGGCACGCGUGCCCGGAGGGAGAGUACCCGCAGAAUAAGCAUCGGCUAACUCCGUGCCAGCAGCCGCGGUAAUACGGAGGAUGCGAGCGUUAUCCGGAUUUAUUGGGUUUAAAGGGUGCGUAGGCGGAUUUUUAAGUCAGCGGUAAAAUGUCCGGGCUCAACCCGGGCCGGCCGUUGAAACUGGGGAUCUUGAGUGGGCGAGAAGUAGGCGGAAUGCGUGGUGUAGCGGUGAAAUGCAUAGAUAUCACGCAGAACUCCGAUUGCGAAGGCAGCCUACUAAACUGCCACUGACAUUGAUGCUCGAAAGUGUGGGUAUCAAACAGGAUUAGAUACCCCAGUAGUC
rnacentral:rRNA from 1 species